GUCCACGCCGUAAACGAUGAUUACUCGUUGUUGGCAAUAUGACCGUCAGCGACCAAGCGAAAGCGAUAAGUAAUCCACCUGGGGAGUACGCCGGCAACGGUGAACUCAAAGGAAUUGACGGGGCCCGCACAAGCGGAGGAGCAUGUGGUUUAAUUCGAUGAUACGCGAGGAACCUUACCUGGGCUUGAAAGUUAGCGACCGGUCCUGAAAGGGAUCUUCCAGCAAUGGCGCGAAACUAGGUGCUGCAUGGCUGUCGU
rnacentral:rRNA from 1 species